UCUUUCAUAUGGUGUGAAUGGAGCCUUAUA
rnacentral:piRNA from 1 species